rnacentral:rRNA from 1 species
AGGGCACCACCAGGAGUGGAGCCUGCGGCUUAAUUUGACUCAACACGGGAAAACUCACCCGGCCCGGACACUGGAAGGAUUGACAGAUUGAGAGCUCUUUCUUGAUUCAGUGGGUGGUGGUGCAUGGCCGUUCUUAGUUGGUGGAGCGAUUUGUCUGGUUAAUUCCGAUAACGAACGAGACUCUAGCCUACUAAAUAGAUCGUCGGCUUACAAACGCCGAUGAGACUUCUUAGAGGGACAGGCGGCGAUUCAGCCGCACGAAACAGAGCAAUAACAGGUCUGUGAUGCCCUUAGAUGUCCGGGGCCGCACGCGCGCUACACUGAAGUGAUCAGCGUGCAUUUUCAGCCUACUCUGCCAAGAGUGGGAAACCCAAUGAACCUUCUUCGUGAUUGGGAUAGGGGAUUGUAAUUAUUCCCCUUGAGCGAGGAAUUCCCAGUAAGCGCGAGUCAUAAGCUCGCGUUGAUUACGUCCCUGCCCUUUGUACACACCGCCCGUCGCUACUACCGAUUGAAUGUUUU